UACGGAGGGGGCUAGCGUUGUUCGGAAUUACUGGGCGUAAAGGGCGCGCAGGCGGCUGCUCAAGUCAGGCGUGAAAGGCCUGGGCUCAACCCGGGAAUUGCGCUUGAGACUGGGCUGGCUUGAGUGCGGGAGAGGAUGGUGGAAUUCCCAGUGUAGAGGUGAAAUUCGUAGAUAUUCGCAAGAACACCAGUGGCGAAGGCGGCUCACUGGCCCGAUACUGACGCUGAGGCACGAAAGCGUGGGGAGCAAACAGG
rnacentral:rRNA from 1 species